rnacentral:rRNA from 1 species
GGCGAACGGGUGAGUAACACGUGGGUGAUCUGCCCUGCACUUCGGGAUGAGCCUGGGAAACUGGGUCUAAUACCGGAUAGGACGAUGGUUUGGAUGCCAUUGUGGAAAGUUUUUCGGUGUGGGAUGAGCUCGCGGCCUAUCAGCUUGUUGGUGGGGUAAUGGCCUACCAAGGCGUCGACGGGUAGCCGGCCUGAGAGAGUGUACGGCCACAUUGGGACUGAGAUACGGCCCAG